GGGGAAUAUUGCACAAUGGGCGCAAGCCUGAUGCAGCAACGCCGCGUGAGUGAAGAAGGCCUUCGGGUUGUAAAACUCUGUCCUAUGGGAAGAAACAAAUGACGGUACCAUAGGAGGAAGCCCCGGCUAACUACGUGCCAGCAGCCGCGGUAAUACGUAGGGGGCAAGCGUUAUCCGGAAUCACUGGGCGUAAAGGGUGCGUAGGUGGCUUAUCAAGCCAGAGGUGAAAGGCAUUGGCUCAACCAAUGUAAGCCUUUGGAACUGAUUAGCUUGAGUGCAGGAGAGGUAAGUGGAAUUCCUAGUGUAGAGGUGAAAUUCGUAGAUAUUAGGAGGAACACCAGUGGCGAAGGCGACUUACUGGACUGUAACUGACACUGAGGCACGAAAGCGUGGGUAGCGAAC
rnacentral:rRNA from 1 species